GAUGAAGAACGCAGCGAAAUGCGAUAAGUAAUGUGAAUUGCAGAAUUCAGUGAAUCAUCGAAUCUGUGAACGCACAUUGCGCCCGUCAGUAUUCUGGCGGGCAUGCCUGUUCGAGCGUCAUUACGCCCCUCAAGUCCCCUGUGGACUUGGUGUUGGGGAUCGGCGAGGCUGGUUUUCCAGCACAGCCGUCCCUUAAAUUAAUUGGCGGUCUCGCCGUGGCCCUCCUCUGCGCAGUAGUAAAACACUCGCAACAGGAGCCCGGCGCGGUCCACUGCCGUAAAACCCCCCAACUUUUUAUAGUUGACCUCGAAUCAGGUAGGACUACCCGCUGAACUUAAGCAUAUCAAUAAGCGGAGGA
rnacentral:misc_RNA from 1 species